UGUGAUGCUGUGCUGCUGACUGGUCGCAGAGGACGUUGCGCAGCUGCAUUGGAAAUGUCAGCCCGGCCGGAGCGGGAUUCUUGGAGCCACAAGUACCGGAGACAGCUUUCCACUGACGGCCAGCAGUACCGGCAUAUGACGGAGAUACUACACCGGUCGAGCGGAAUGGGAAGGAAAAGCUGAAAACUGAACAGAUGAACACAGAGGGAAACUGAGAGGGAAACUGUGCGUGCUGGAGGCUGACAGCUCCGAGGUCAAUACCCUAUUUAAGUUUGUUGAUCUUAUAUGAAGAUCGCAUCACAUCGCUUUCACUUGCACAAAAACUUCUUAGACGGAAAACCACCAUCCUCGGCACAGUCAACAAGAUUCGCCGGGAAAUUCCUCAAUCCGCGAGACACACAGAUCGCAAUGAAUUCACCACUCAGGUGUUUUCAACCUCUGCUGCCACGCUGACGGCGUAUGCGGCCAAACGGAAGAAGACAGUCUA